rnacentral:rRNA from 7 species
AUAAGCAAUUAUACAGCGAAACUGCGAAUGGCUCAUUAUAUAAGUUAUCGUUUAUUUGAUAGUACCUUACUACUUGGAUAACCGUGGUAAUUCUAGAGCUAAUACAUGCUAAAAAUCCCGACUUCGGAAGGGAUGUGUUUAUUAGAUUAAAAACCAAUGCCCUCCGGGGCUCCUUGGUGAUUCAUGAUAACUAUUCGAAUCGCAUGGCCUUGCGCCGGCGAUGGUUCAUUCAAAUUUCUUCCCUAUCAACUUUCGAUGUUUGGGUAUUGGCCAAACAUGGUUGCAACGGGUAACGGAGGGUUAGGGCUCGACCCCGGAGAAGGAGCCUGAGAAACGGCUACUACAUCCAAGGAAGGCAGCAGGCGCGCAAAUUACCCAAUCCCGACACGGGGAGGUAGUGACAAUAAAUACUGAUACAGGGCUCUUUUGGGUCUUGUAAUUGGAAUGAGUACAAUUUAAAUCUCUUAACGAGGAACAAUUGGAGGGCAAGUCUGGUGCCAGCAGCCGCGGUAAUUCCAGCU